rnacentral:lncRNA from 1 species
CAUUGUAAAUUAUAUAAACUUUAAAAUAAUAUCUUUCCAUGGUAAAUCAUGAAACAAUGCAUGUGCUCGUGCAUAGCACGGGAGAAAACUAGUAUUUAUAUAUAUGAGAAAAGAAUGCCUAUGAUCGUGGAGGAAGAAGAAGAGGUUUAAGUCCCGUCGGCUAUAUUACGGUGCGUUCUUCUAGUUCUUAAGUUUUAGUAGUCUUCAGAAAA